GACCCAAUGGCACAGUUGGUUAGUGCACCUGCUCACGCUGAAAAUACCUGCAUGUAAGCAGUAAGCAGGAGGCCCUCGUUCGAUUCGGGGUUGGGUCA